CUAUGAAUGAGAUGUCCUAUUCUUGUUGUUUGGGUAGUGGGUACAUAUGGGUCCAAGAAUAGCACUAUUUGAUAGCACUGGGUACAUAUGGGUCUUGGGUUUUGGUUUGGGUUUGAGCUUGGAGGAACUUAUGUUUUAUGGGCUUUAAGGGCUAGCAAUGAGAUAUCCUAUUCUUGUUAAAAGAACAGAAUAAAAGCUUUUCAAUUCAGACAUCAGAGGGCAUUUCAUACAUUUCUUGGCAAUAACUUCAUUGCCAAAAUGAAAAAUUUAAAAUUUACAGUUGAAACACCAAUACUCCUCUCCUUCCCCUCUUAUUGUCCACUUACACAAGAAAAAUAGCAAGGAGCAAAGAAAAUUUUAGAACCCCUAUCAUAUAAAUAAUUAAUGAUCAUCUAAAAUAAUCAACGGCCUUUGAAAGAUUAUUAAUAAUCCUAAUUAAUUAAUGAAAAUGUCAAGCGAAGAGAGCUGCAUAUAAGAGCUGGUUCCAGGCAUCAGGCAAUCCAGGCAAACACCAAUGGCUGCAAUCUGCCUUGUGGUCUCCACUAUAAGCAGAUGGGUGAGCAUCUUUUCGAUAUUGUGAGAGGGUGGUCACAUCUAGCAAGUCGACUGGUUUUUUAAUCCUACUCAAUACCCUGUUAACAACAACCCAAGCCAUUGGUGUGCCUGCUGGGUAGCUCGUUCCAAAGAAUGGCUGUGUUUCCCCUGUACAUGACUUUGUGGGUUGAUUCCAAUCCUUCCCCCUAACGUAAGAUGACAAAUAUGAAGUCAAGACCCAAUUCAUAUUGAUUCUUGCCUUGGAAAGCUAAAAAAGAAAAUUAAAGAUUAAUGGAAGAAAAAGUUUGCUUACUCGUAGUGAGUGGGAGAUAUGCCUUGGAAGAAGACCUUGGUUUUAGAAGGAUCAACAGUUCGGUCGACCCAUCUAGCCCAAGUAGUGAGUCCUUUGUAAAAUGCAAUCAGACGGUUCAUAUCUUUGUACUUUUUAUUACCCUCUUGCAUGUAACUCCAUCUGCAAUACAUGAAACAAUUAGUGCUAUCAAAAAAGAAAAUUUAUUAUUAUUAUUAUUUUCCAAAUUAUUAGGAGAUAGAAAUGAGGUAUGGAUGGUACGGUUGGGUUCUUCCAGUGUGAGUCCACCAGUGCCAGGUGUUAAAGAUCAACAUGUCCAUCCCAGCCCAUGCCCUGCCACCGUAUAUGGAGUCAAGCUUCAAAAUUGUUCCAUCCUUGUCGUUAACAAGAUCUACUAGAAAUGGUGCUCGAUAGAGUAGUAUCUUCACUCCAUAUUCCUCAAAUGUGACUGAAGAUAGCCCAUCUUUCCUUAUGACUGUAGUCCUUGAAUUAGGGACCCAAACAUGAAGCAUACAUGUUAAAGAUUGCCAUUGGUUUAGACUCAGUGAGUCACCCACAAACAUUAUCUUCUUCCCUCUCCAACUCAUCAAAAAAUCCACGCCAUUGAACCUGGGUAAGUUGCAAGAGUCAGGUUGCCAAGCAUACUUGAGAUACUGAGUAUCAGGUCUGCCAAACUUCUGGCAAUUAAACUCAUCAUCUAUAAAGGGACACCCUGAAGAAUCAUAAAGAGGAUAAGAAGCAUCAACGACCCAUCUCCCUUGAAACAAAUUGCAGCUACUCACUUGCUUUCUUCCUCUCAAUCUGCUUACAUUGUAGUAGUGUUGCUGUGCUCUUGCUUCUUCCAACAACAAGAGAAUUAUAACUUGAAAAAGAAAAGAAACCAAGAAAUGGCCAUGGCACCUCAAACCCAUAUUGGAUACAGAGAAGUUGGCCCGUGUGGGGCUUAUAUACAGGUGAGCUGUGAGAAGGUAGAUGGAGGUCGUGGUGGCGGUGGGGGCUGGGCUAGGUGGGUUCACAUGGUUGAAG
rnacentral:misc_RNA from 1 species